GAAAUGCGAUAAGUAGUGUGAAUUGCAGAAUUCAGUGAAUCAUCGAAUCUUUGAACGCACAUUGCGCCCCUUGGUAUUCCAUGGGGCAUGCCUGUUCGAGCGUCAUUUGUACCAUCAAGCUCUGCUUGGUGUUGGGUGUUUGUCCCCGUCUCCGCGCGUGGACUCGCCCCAAAGUGAUUGGCAGCCGGCGUACUGGUCCCGGAGCGCAGCACAUGUCGCGCAAACGAGUGCCUUGGUACGGCGGCGUCCAUAAGCCCCUCUCUCACGCUCUUGACCUCGGAUCAGGUAGGGAUACCCGCUGAACUUAAGC
rnacentral:misc_RNA from 1 species